AAGAUAGGAGAACGGACUGGGAAGUCCGGCCGGAGAGAGUGAAAGCCUCGUAUCCGAAAUCCCAAGUCGCCUAGCAGGAUCCAGAGUAGGACGAGACACGAGAAACCUUGUCUGAACGAGCGGGGACCACCCCGUAAGGCUAAAUACUUCUUAGUGACCGAUAGCGCAUAGUACUGUGAAGGAAAGGUGAAAAGUACCCCGGGAGGGGAGUGAAAGAGAACCUGAAACCCUGUGUCUACAAGCUGUGGGACCUCUUUAUAUGAGGGACUGCGUACUUUUUGUAGAACGGUCCGGCGAGUUGUGCGUACUGGCGAGGUUAAGGACUUAAGGUCUGGAGCCGAAGUGAAAGCAAGCGUUAAUAGCGCGUCAAGUCAGUGAGUGCAGACCCGAAACCGGGUGACCUAUCCAUGUCCAGGUUGAAGCUUCCGUAAGAGGAAGUGGAGGACCGAACCCACAUCCGUUGAAAAGGGUGGGGAUGAGGUGUGGAUAGGGGAGAAAUUCCAAUCGAACCCGGAGAUAGCUGGUUCUCCUCGAAAUAGCUUUAGGGCUAGCCUCAUGAGAGUCUUAUGGAGGUAGAGCACUGAAUUGCCUAGGGGGCGUCAAAGCUUACCAAAGCAUAUCAAACUCCGAAUGCCAUCAAGAUGAUUCAUGGGAGUCAGACCAUACGAGAUAAGUUGGAUGGUCAAAAGGGAAAGAGCCCAGACCUACAGCUAAGGUCCCAAAGUACGUGUUAAGUGGAAAAGGAUGUGGGGAUUCUAAGACAACUAGGACGUUGGCUUAGAAGCAGCCAUUCAUUGAAAGAGUGCGUAAUAGCUCACUAGUCGAGAGUCCCUGCGCCGAAAAUGUCCGGGGCUGAAACACGACACCGAAGCUUAGGAAUGUGUAAACAUUGGUAGAGGAGCAUUGCUAGCGGGAUGAAGCCAUACCGUAAGGAGUGGUGGACUGCUAGGAAGAGAGAAUGCCGGAAUGAGUAGCGAGAUGAAGGUGAGAAUCCUUCAGGCCGAAUAUCUAAGGUUUCCAGAGUAAAGCUGAUCUGCUCUGGGUAAGUCGGGACCUAAGGCGAGGUCGAAAGACGUAGUCGAUGGAUAACAGGUUGAAAUUCCUGUACCGCAUAUAAACAGAACUGUGGGGACACAGACAGGGAAUGGAAUCCGGGAAUGGAAAUCCCGGUGCAAGCGAGGUAGGAGUGCUGUUGGCAAAUCCGCAGCACGAUCUGAAGACGUGACGCGUACCGAACAUAAGUAGGGAAGUCCAGGCCCCUGGCUGUCAAGAAAAGCCGCUAUUGUUUUAUAUGUGCCCGUACCGCAAACCGACACAGGUGGAUGAGGAGAGAAUCCUAAGGCCGACGGGAGAAGCAUUGUUAAGGAACUCGGCAAAAUGACUCCGUAACUUCGGGAGAAGGAGUGCCAUGAGAGUGGCCGCAGAGAAAUGGCCCAAGCAACUGUUUAGCAAAAACACAGGUCUAUGCAAAACCGCAAGGUGAAGUAUAUGGGCUGACGCCUGCCCGGUGCUGGAAGGUUAAGGGGAGAGGUUAGCGCAAGCGAAGCUUUGAACUUAAGCCCCAGUAAACGGCGGCCGUAACUAUAACGGUCCUAAGGUAGCGAAAUUCCUUGUCGGGUAAGUUCCGACCCGCACGAAAGGCGUAAUGAUUUGGGCACUGUCUCAACGAUACACCCGGUGAAAUUGAAAUACCAGUGAAGAUGCUGGUUACCUGCGCCAGGACGGAAAGACCCCAUGGAGCUUUACUCCAGUUUGAUACUGGGAUUCGGCAUGGUAUGUACAGGAUAGGUGGGAGACUGAGAAGGUAUGACGUCAGUUGUACCGGAGUCGCUGUUGGGAUACCACCCUUACCAUGUUGGAUUUCUAACCUGUGGCCGUAAGCCGGUCAGGGGACAAUGUCAGGCGGGGAGUUUGACUGGGGCGGUCGCCUCCGAAAGGGUAUCGGAGGCGCUCAAAGGUUCCCUCAGAAUGGUUGGAAACCAUUCGAAGAGUGCAAAGGCAGAAGGGAGCUUGACUGCGACACCGACGGGUGGAGCAGGUACGAAAGUAGGACUUAGUGAUCCGGUGGUAUAAAGUGGGAUUGCCAUCGCUCAACGGAUAAAAGCUACCCUGGGGAUAACAGGCUUAUCACUCCCAAGAGUUCACAUCGACGGAGUGGUUUGGCACCUCGAUGUCGGCUCAUCGCAUCCUGGAGCUGUAGCAGGUUCCAAGGGUUGGGCUGUUCGCCCAUUAAAGCGGUACGCGAGCUGGGUUCAGA
rnacentral:rRNA from 1 species